AUUGAACGCUGGCGGCAUGCCUUACACAUGCAAGUCGAACGGCAGCACGGGAGCAAUCCUGGUGGCGAGUGGCGAACGGGUGAGUAAUAUAUCGGAACGUGCCCAGUCGUGGGGGAUAACGUAGCGAAAGCUACGCUAAUACCGCAUACGAUCUAUGGAUGAAAGCGGGGGAUCGCAAGACCUCGCGCGAUUGGAGCGGCCGAUAUCAGAUUAGGUAGUUGGUGGGGUAAAAGCCUACCAAGCCUUCGAUCUGUAGCUGGUCUGAGAGGACGACCAGCCACACUGGAACUGAGACACGGUCCAGACUCCUACGGGAGGCAGCAGUGGGGAAUUUUGGACAAUGGGCGCAAGCCUGAUCCAGCAAUGCCGCGUGCAGGAUGAAGGCCUCGGUUGUAACU
rnacentral:rRNA from 1 species